AGAUCUCUGAGGCAAUCUCCCUGAAGCCAAUCCAGUGUUCUGUGCUUUGAAACAUGGAAUGGUCCUGGGAGAUUAGGGAGCAAGCAGGAGAUUGCUUAGGCUUUCUUACAGGAGGACCACAUAUCUUAUUCACCUAAAAGGAAAAAUGCCACAGGAAGAAGGAAAGAGCACACGGUUGAUGAAUUAUUAUGGCAUGUUCAGCCCAGUUACACAAAAAAAUAGUGAACAGCAUGGUGGAAAUUUGCAUUACAACAUUGAAAGAUGUUAAGAAAUACACAAGGAAUACUUUCUUCAAGAAAAAGAAGGAAGAUUAUUGAUGAGUUGCCAGCAUUUCCAACACCAGAUUACUAAUCAAAAAUACAAAAGAUUUUGAUCAAGGAAAAUGAUGCUCUAAACUGCUAUAGUUUCCUUGGUUUGUUUUAUUUCGCCUAAACCACGAGA